CCUCUGGCCCUUGCUCCAGGCUUCGCGCGAGAUCCCUGUGGGCAGCAAUGCGAGUUACCAUACCUGCACCCAGCGGCUGCUCAGGACUCCUCAAACCUCUCAGAAGAUCUGCUUACCCGUCGGGUGACCCGCGUUCCUCCAUGUCCUGCUCUGCACACGCAGUUAGCUCCGCCCGCGUCUCCUUUAUUUACUCCCCCCAAUACCCUCCCUUCUCCACAACACUGGGACUGUCUACACACUUCUUGCAUUCCCACCCCAUCCCCCAUCCCAGGCAGCCAUCCAUCCGGAAAGGCUCCAGCCUGCCCAGGGCUGGCUCGUUAAAGAUUUACCCUUCCUCACCCCUGCGGUGGAGAAAGUCUCUCCCAAGCGAGGGGACCCCUAGCUAGGGGGUUCUGGAGUCUGAGGAUCCCUUGCUCUUGGCCAGUCCUCACAAGAGGGACCCGUGGGACCACUCGGACCCGCCUCCUUUGUGCCCAGAUGGGGAAACCUAAGCAGAUACAGAGACCGAAGUCUUGGUGGGAAGAGGCCGAGACCAGUCUGGGACUCACCCUGACAGGCAGCGCGGCACAGUAUUGAGGUGGAGCGGAGAUGAGAAAGAAGGUCUGCGAGGAAGGAGGUUCUCCAUGUAUCACAUGACAAUCAUCUAUCAUUGCUCCACUUGUACCCCCCACAGAGGAAAAGCCAGAUGGGUCCAGGGCCUGUUGUGAAAUUUUUCCCAACAGAGCUUGCUGUCAUCUUUAAUUAAAACACGAGUGGAGGC